GCUUCUUAGAGGGACUAUCGCCGUUUAGGCGACGGAAGUUUGAGGCAAUAACAGGUCUGUGAUGCCCUUAGAUGUUCAGGGCCGCACGCGCGCUACACUGAUGUAUUCAACGAGUAUAUAGCCUUGGCCGACAGGCCCGGGUAAUCUUGGGAAAUUUCAUCGUGAUGGGGAUAGAUCAUUGCAAUUGUUGGUCUUCAACGAGGAAUGCCUAGUAAGCGCGGG
rnacentral:ncRNA from 1 species